rnacentral:rRNA from 1 species
GCAACAGCUCAAAUUUGAAAUCUGGCCCUCGGGUCCGAAUUGUAAUUUGUAGAGGAUGAUUUUGGUGCGGUAUCUUCCGAGUUCCUUGGAACAGGACGCCUUAGAGGGUGAGAGCCCCGUACGGUUGAAUGCCUAGCCUCUGUAAAUCUCCUUCGACGAGUCGAGUAGUUUGGGAAUGCUGCUCUAAAUGGGAGGUAAAUUUCUUCUAAAGCUAAAUAUUGGCCAGAGACCGAUAGCGCACAAGUAGAGUGAUCGAAAGAUGAAAAGCACUUUGAAAAGAGGGUUAAAUAGCACGUGAAAUUGUUGAAAGGGAAGGAUUUGUGACCAGACUUUUUCUGGGCGGAUCAUCCGGGGUUCUCUCCGGUGCACUUUGCCCAGUAAAGGCCAGCAUCGAUUUUCGGCGGCGGAUAAAAGCAGUGGGAAUGUGGCUCCCUACGGGGAGUGUUAUAGCCCAUUGUAUAAUACGCUGCUGGGGAUCGAGGUACGCGCUUCUGCAAGGAUGCUGGCGUAAUGGUUAUCAAUCACCCGUCUUGAAACACGGACCAAGGAGUCGAACAUUUAU